CAGGGGGUAGUUUAAGAGUAAAAUAUUAAUUUUGGGGAUUAAUGAAAGGUAAAUAUACUUUCCUCUGA
rnacentral:tRNA from 1 species